GGAUCAAUGAUGAGUCCAACCAAAAAAACAUUCCUUGGAAAGCUGAACAAAAUGAGUGAGAACUCAUACCAUCGCUCUCAUCAGAACUGAGGUCA